AGGCCUAGCUGUGGUAACAGUCAGCUCAUUGUACUUCCUGUGCAUGUCUCCCCAGGCUGCAGGCAUGAGGGAGGAGGAAGGAGAGCCUUCUCAGGGGCAGAGCCAUGUUCUUUCUUCAAUGCUUUAUGAGGGGCUGUGCUUCUCUGGUGGAACUUCCCAUCAAGCUCUCAAUGUCCAUCUGUAGAGAACAUCGUGUAGUUAAGGUUCAAAGUUCCACACCCAACCCACACGAGACAUUGCAUGUAGCUAUAAGUAUCUAAGA
rnacentral:snRNA from 1 species